rnacentral:tRNA from 1 species
GUCAGGAUGGCCGAGUGGUCUAAGGCGCCAGACUCAAGGUUAGAUUCCUUCCUUAGUUAAGGGACUUCUGGUCUCCAGAUGGAGGUGUGGGUUCAAAUCCAACUCCUCACA